GACAGAGGUGCCGAGCGUUAGGCGGAAUCACUGGGCUUAAAGCGUGUGUAGGCGGGUCGUUAAGUGUCUUGUGGAAAUCCCCCGGCUCAACCGGGGAAUGGCUGGGCAUACUGGCGAGUCUUGAGCAGUCUAGGGGCAGAUGGAACAAGUGGUGGAGGCGGUGAAAUGCGUAGAUAUCGGAAAGAACACCAACGGCGAAAGCAACUCUGCUGGGCCGACACUGACACUGAGAGACGAAAGCUAGGGGGAGCGAAUGGG
rnacentral:rRNA from 1 species